rnacentral:rRNA from 1 species
UACGGAGGAUGCAAGCGUUAUCCGGAAUUAUUGGGCGUAAAGCGUCCGCAGGUGGUUAUCCAAGUCUGCUGUUAAAGCGCGAGGCUUAACUUCGUACAGGCAGUGGAAACUGGAUGACUAGAGUAUGGUAGGGGUCGCGGGAAUUCCCAGUGUAGCGGUGAAAUGCGUAGAUAUCAGGAAGAACACCGGUGGCGAAAGCGCUCUACUAGGCCGCAACUGACACUGAGGGACGAAAGCUAGGGGAGCGAAUGGG